ensembl:snoRNA
GCUGUAAUGAUGAUCCCCAUGCGUGUCAGCUGACUUCGGUAGCCCUCUGCAUUUCCCCGGUGUUCUGUUGAGCGCUGGCUCCGGGUUGCAGGCCUCUGGAGGCAUGAUCAGACCUCACUGACCUGAACACAGC